ACCUGGGAUUUGUUGGUGACCUCCUUUCCAAUUACUAACAACAGCUGCCCCUACAAGGCUUACAAGGCCAAACAGAAUAUGGUGCCCUUAGGGUAUUUAGGACCGUAUCAGCAACAUAUUGUCCAAAAAUGAUUUUCUCUUCACCCUCUUUCAUGAUGACCUCCAGCUACCAGCCUGCUGAUUCCAAGACUACAGACCAUCAAAAACAUCGGGGAGAAAAGACCUGAACCUUCCAAACCCCAAUGGCAACAGAGAGGGCCCGUGGCGGCUGCUUAUAUACAUGAAUAUGUAUCCAUGUCAUGAUCUUCUUAUUAAAGGAUUUUGAAACAACCCCAAGAUUUCCCCGCGUGAUAGCUCAGAAUGCGGAGAAUCAUUGUAGAAAUGGACAAAAGUACAUUGCAUGUGAUGGAGAUGAAUAUAUUGUCAGUUUUCCUUAUAAAUUGACUGAAAUAAAAUAAAACGCUGUG